rnacentral:rRNA from 1 species
CUUUACUGCAGCUUUGCACUGAACUUUGACCUUACUUGUGUAGGAUAGGUGGGAGGCUAUGAAACUUGGACGCCAGUUCGAGUGGAGCCAUCCUUGAAAUACCACCCUGGUAAUGUCGAGGUUCUAACCCAGUUCCGUUAUCCGGAACGGGGACAGUGUAUGGUGGGUAGUUUGACUGGGGCGGUCUCCUCCUAAAGAGUAACGGAGGAGUACGAAGGUGCGCUCAGCGUGGUCGGAAAUCACGCACUGAGUAUAAAGGCAAAAGCGCGCUUAACUGCGAGACCGACAAGUCGAGCAGGUACGAAAGUAGGUCUUAGUGAUCCGGUGGUUCUGUAUGGAAGGGCCAUCGCUCAACGGAUAAAAGGUA